rnacentral:rRNA from 1 species
AUGCACGCUGGCGGCGUGCCUAAUACAUGCAAGUCGAGCGCACAGAUGAGGAGCUUGCUCCUCUGACGUUAGCGGCGGACGGGUGAGUAACACGUGGAUAACCUACCUAUAAGACUGGGAUAACUUCGGGAAACCGGAGCUAAUACCGGAUAAUAUAUUGAACCGCAUGGUUCAAUAGUGAAAGACGGUUUUGCUGUCACUUAUAGAUGGAUCCGCGCCGCAUUAGCUAGUUGGUAAGGUAACGGCUUACCAAGGCAACGAUGCGUAGCCGACCUGAGAGGGUGAUCGGCCACACUGGAACUGAGACACGGUCCAGACUCCUACGGGAGGCAGCAGUAGGGAAUCUUCCGCAAUGGGCGAAAGCCUGACGGAGCAACGCCGCGUGAGUGAUGAAGGUCUUCGGAUCGUAAAACUCUGUUAUUAGGGAAGAACAAAUGUGUAAGUAACUAUGCACGUCUUGACGGUACCUAAUCAGAAAGCCACGGCUAACUACGUG